UGGUCAGUGACAAAAGACGGGGUUGUGCUCCCGCACGAACCCCGGCUGGGUCGCUGCGGUGUCCAACGCCUUCCCACCGUACCUGCCUCUCCCCCCGCCCUGGAGGAGGGGAGCCAAGGAGCUUCCGAAAACGGCCUCCGAAGGGGUGAAGGGCCGCGCGACCGGAGGAGAGGAGCCCCAGGGCGGCGUGGGUUCUGAUUCCGACCCUGCCAGGCAUAAAGGGCGUUAUGGGCCGCGCCUGCGUUUAGAUGACCCUAUUGCCAUGGCUGCUGGUGUGACCUGGAAGACAUCACCUUAUCCUCCUGAUACCUUCCGUCCUAGUGCUCUUGGGCUGCUAGGACACAACAUCGUCAACUGGACUAGGUGGCUUACGACCACAGAAACUUCCUUCUCACAGUUCUGGAGGCUGGAAAAUCCACGAUCGAGGUGCUGCAGAUUUCAUGUCUAGUGAAGUCUUCCUGGCUUCACAAAUAGCCGCCUCCUUGCUGUGUCCUCACAUGGCACAAGGAGCAAGCAACUUUCUGGGGUCUUUUUAUAAGGGUGCUAAUUCCAUUCAUGCAGGCUCCACCUUCAUGACCUAAUUACCUCCCAGAAUCCCCACCUCCAAAUACCAUCACAUCAGGGAUUAGGCUUCAGCAUGAAUUUUGGGGACAUACAAACAUUCAGUCCAUAGCACUUCAUAACCCGUAAUCGGCUAUUUGGAAUGAGGUUGCUAGGGAUUUAGCUUCCAAUCUCCUUUCUUCCACUCAAGGAACACAUUGGCUUUCCAGUACAAGCCAGGUACUUGGACAAGGUUAGCCAGAUAUGGGGGUGCCAGAGUGGGUGGGUAUCUCCCUCAGAAAAGCUUAUCUACUGAGAGGCAAGAAUAAAGUUCCUUGGUGUACUUGUUAACUCAAGAAACUCUUCCUGGCUUCGGAUAGCAAAUGAAAAAAGCCAACUUCACCAAGUUGGUGGAUUUAGGCUGGGCUGUUUCAAGCUGUAAGUGGUGGAGGCUAACAGACAGCGUGGCCCCACCUGUCUCAUCUCCUACCAGCAGGCCGACAAAGGGAUAUUAUUCUCAUGGUGAUGACUGAGAUGCCAAAGACCAAGCCCAUUUGUGCAAGUGCUUCUUAAGCCUUUAGCCAUGCUGUAUGUUUCCUAUAGCUGCAGUAACUAAUUACCACAAAUUUGGUGGCUUAAAAUAAAAAUGUAUUACCCCACAGUUGUAGAGAUCAGAAGUCCAAAUAAGUGAGGGGAUGUUCAGCCUGGAGAGGACCUUCACAAGGUCAAGCUGUGGGAAGGGCUCUGCUCCAUCCAGAGGUUGUAGAGAAUUUAGUUUUCUUGCCUAGUGGUCCCUUCCAUUUUCAAGGCUGGUAGUGUAGCAUCUUCCAGUCUCUAAUUUUGCUUGUUUUCACAUCAACUUUUCCUUAUCUUUUUACCUUCCAACCUCCCUGUUGUAAUUAAACUGAGCCCACUUGGAUAAUCCAGGAUAAUCUUCCCAUUCCCAGACCUUAAUUUAGUCACAUUUACAAAGUUCCUUUUACCACGUAAGUAACAUACUGACAGGUUAGAGGGUUAGAAGAUAGGCAUCUUUGGGGAAGGGGAGGGUAAUAUCUAGUCUACUUAAACAUGCUGUGCCUGCCAGAAUUCCACUGGCCCGUAUCAAGGGACAGGGGGUACUCUGCUCAUGAAGGGGGGAUAUAAAGAAAUAUAUGUAGAUCUAUAAGCAAAUCCUUUUUUUUUUUUUGGCAAGGCCUUUAGUACAUGUUUAUUGAAUGUUUCGGACCAUUAUGACUCCUCAGGGUAUCACACUGAUCACCUUCUUACAAUCAGCCACAGCUAUCCAUGCUGGAGUUCCUAUUGGGUCUGCAGGGGAAUGUCAUCUACAGCAAAGGUGGACAAACGCUGUAACUUAAGAUCUUAUUUGCUCAUUCCAAUUAUAAUGCUGUGUACUAUUGUGUAGUCAUUUUACAGUCACACUGAAAUUUACGCUCUGAAUUUCCUUCUCCCUCUAUUCCUGUUACCCAGAGCAAGAGGACACAUUAUUUGCUUUAAACCUGCUGAAGGAACGGGAGAGAUUCUGUAGGGGUAUUAGUUUCCUCACUCCUUUGCCAGAACUGACCCAGAAUUCAGCUGAACAUCUAUUAGGGCAGGUUGUCCACAUACUACUUGCUUUGCUCUAAGCAGUCUUUUAUUUAAAAUGAUUUUUUAAAAAGAUUGUAUUUAGGGGCGCCUGGGUGGUUCAGUCGUUAAGCGUCUGCCUUCG